rnacentral:rRNA from 1 species
GAUGAACGCUGGCGGCGUGCCUAAUACAUGCAAGUCGAGCGAACUGAUUAGAAGCUUGCUUCUAUGACGUUAGCGGCGGACGGGUGAGUAACACGUGGGCAACCUGCCUGUAAGACUGGGAUAACUUCGGGAAACCGAAGCUAAUACCGGAUAGGAUCUUCUCCUUCAUGGGAGAUGAUUGAAAGAUGGUUUCGGCUAUCACUUACAGAUGGGCCCGCGGUGCAUUAGCUAGUUGGUGGGGUAACGGCACACCAAGGCAACGAUGCAUAGCCGACCUGAGAGGGUGAUCGGCCACACUGGGACUGAGACACGGCCCAGACUCCUACGGGAGGCAGCAGUAGGGAAUCUUCCGCAAUGGACGAAAGUCUGACGGAGCAACGCCGCGUGAGUGAUGAAGGCUUUCGGGUCGUAAAACUCUGUUGUUAGGGAAGAACAAGUACAAGAGUAACUGCUUGUACCUUGACGGUACCUAACCAGAAAGCCACGGCUAACUACGUGCCAGCAGCCGCCGUAA